AAAUCCUGUUACGCACACUAACACACAGCUUACAUCAAGAGCCAAGAGAGAAAUUGGAAAAAUGUACUUCUGAUAAAAAAGCCAUGUUACUCUUAAAACAUUAAUGGCUCGAUGAAAGCUUGCAACACUUUGCGUACACCCUCCUCUCUGAAUCCGUCUGCAUAAUGGUGAAAAACAACACACUCGCUCACAUGAAACGCUUGAUGGCUUUAUGUAUGGUGUUUUUCAGACCGUGUGUGCUGAGUUUGACUUUAUGUUUUUCAUAUUCUCCUGUUUUUUUCCUCUUCCUCUUCUAACUUCCUGUGAGUCAGCCGUUAGGGAGGAAAUACCAUCCAGCUGGACUUUAUUUCUAAUGCAAAAACAGGUUUUAAUGUGCUACCCUCCAAACAAAGGCAGGAAUCCGCCGCGGUGUUUUCUCUUCUUUGGUGGCCGCUGAAUGGAAACACACAGCGAAUGGAAACAGCUCUACAACUGUCCAUUUCUCGUAAACAGCAGAACAUAUUCUCAUUACUGACGGUCAGGAGGCAAAAAAGGGUUAAGGGAGGAUAAAAUGAACAUCCAGCUACUUUCUCACCAAAACCAGCAAACACAAGCCAUCGAACCAAAACAAGCGCACUUACAGGAACAGUUCACCCAAAAAGCAGAUUUCUGUCAUCAUUUACUCACCCUCACGUGUUUCCAAACCAGUAUGGCUUUCUUUCCUCCACCGCUGAUGUGAAAUCUCAUGCCCACGCCUACAUAUAAACCAUUCAGUUUAAGAGAAUGCAUGUGCAUAUGCAAAUGAGCUUUCAGCAAACAAUUAAUUAUGAGCAAUUGAGUUCUUUCUUAAUGCUUUUUCUCAUUUUAUUUACAGUUUCUGACUGCGAUAGAGCAGCAUGGACAUUCUACUAAAUAUCUUCUUUUGUGUUUCACAGAAAGAACGAAAUUGAGAGAGAGAAAGAAUGAAAUAAAGAAAACCACACAGGUAUGGAACAACAUGGCUCCCAUCGGCAGAGGUCGCCUGACAUUUCACAUGGAGGAGUCACACACACACACACACACACAAACACACACACACACACACACACACACACACAUACACAGAGAGAGAGAUUUCUGUGAUUCUGUAUCUUUUUAAAGUAAUGAUACAUACUGUUUUGUAUUGGAACAUUAGUGUGAAAAAUACAAUAACAAUGUUUUAAAUGACUUUCGGGUACUGUAGCCUAUAUAUAGUUUUUCUAGCCUACACUUUUGCUUAUUAAAAACAAUUA